GCUCAGGUGGUGAAAUUGGUAGACACAUCGGUUUUAGGAGCCGGUGCCGCAAGGCGUAUGGGUUCGAGUCCCUUCCUGAGCACCA
rnacentral:tRNA from 1 species